CGCAAUUGUUGAAUAGGCAUUGUGUGACAGGCCAUAAUGCCUAAAUGGUGACUUACAAUAGGAUGGAGGUUUUGGAGGAAAAGGCUCUUGAAGCUGGUGUCCUCCUCCAUGCCAGGGUAAUUGCGAGCUCCGAAAAAAGCUCGUCGAAGUCUGUGGUAGUAAGCAUGGGGAUUUUCAUGCUUGCCCUGUUUGGUGUCUAGGGCAAUGAUCAGUCCAUGUUCAGACUCUGGGUCUGAGAAUUCCUUUAUGAACGCUUGUUUAAGCUGCUGGUGAGGCCACUCUCAGGAUCAAUUCCUUUGAUGUCCUCAGGGUUUCUGUUGCUGAGCAAGGACUUGGAUUCCAGCUCGGGCUGCAUUCAGGUGGCAUUCACAGGCAUUGUUUCGGUUCGCCUGAAUUCAGUUUUUAUUCUGCACCUGCAGAGUUUUAAGGGAGAAAACUUGAAGUGUCCAGCAAAAGGCUUCGGUUCCCCCCUUCGCAGCUCUGUACGGGGUGAGGGGGCUUGCACUGCUGGCGGUGUGAUGUUCAGCAGGCUGUCUUUCACGUGAGUCCAUGCGCAGUCUGCAAGACUGUUUUAGUUCUCUGAACCAUGUCAAGCUCCUCUUUAAUGUUGCAGAAUUGCUGAGUCAGGGUUUGAACUUCAGCUCUGGCUGCAUGCAGAUGGCCUUCUAAGGCCUCAGCUCUGGUGUCUCUCUCAGUAAGUUCCACAUACGCUGUUUUUAACAGUGUCUCUGUGUGAAACAGUUCUCUUUCCAAGUCCUGUCUAAUGGCUUUUUCCAGCUUCGCUUGGUGUCCAGCAGCUGUUAGAGCCUCCUGAAGACUGGUGAUUUCCUUCUGUUGCGCCAUUCUGUAAGGUUCUUUGCCUCUGUUCUGUGCUUUCUCUCAUUGAGCAUCCACUUGUCACAGUCUUUCCAUUGCAGGUUGUUGGCUGCUUUGGGCUAAAGGAUGUCCAUCACAGUUCUCUGCUGGGUUUCCAGGUGGUCCUGUUGAGCUGGCAGGGCUGGAUGUCUGUGAAAUGUCUGCGACAUACUGGCACACUUGUGGGAACACCAGAGAUAGAGAGAGACAGAAGGCAAAUGCACGUACGUACAGAGGUGUAAAGCUAUCUGUAUGGGGAUGCUGCAUAGGCCACGUAAGGUAAAUAGCUGGUGAGGGUUUGAGUAACUUUGUUGAUGUGGCUGUAAGCAGGGGUCAUCUAAUGACCGGGCCAUACAUGUGGUCAAACUAUUACUCAAAGCACUGAUAGUUCACAGGUUUGGUCACUAUGAAGGUAUCAAAUAAAACAAAACUGAAAUAAAAUCAGAAAGAGACAGAGGGAAAAUGAAAGGGCUUUCCUUAUUUAGU
ensembl:lncRNA